CGUUGUCCACACUUUCGUCCAUACUCCUUUAAUGAAAUAAAAAAAUUCGACAUCAUUAAAAUAUAUUUCAAACUAAAGUAUAAACUUACGCCAGUAGAAGGGAAAUAUUACAAAUUUAGAUAGUCUGCUGGGUAUAAGAGCGGGAGCUACACGUAGAAUAUUUAUCUAAAUAAAAUAUAACAAAAUAAAAUGAAGACGAAACAUAAUAAAACC
rnacentral:lncRNA from 1 species